UCUUCUCGAUCCUUCUCUCAACUACCCCUUUCUCUCUCUUGUUUCUCUCACUAUAUUCUCCACGAUUCUUCAGUUUAAUCUUAAUGUUUUCAUGGUAUCAGAGCCUAGACGAUGAUGCGACUAUGUUUUUCUGCAUCUUGUUAUCUUGGUUGAUGUCUCGUUUGAGAUUUUUGGGGGUGUUUCUGAUGCAUGUGGUCGAUGACGAUUCCGAUCUAAAUCGGAUGCUUUUCUGAGACUUUCAUCGUGAUAU
rnacentral:lncRNA from 1 species